GAGGGAGGGGGGAGAGGAGGGAGGAGAGGAGUUGGAGAGAGGGAGGAGAGGAGAAGAAGAGAGGCGUCUGAGGGAGCGUGUGAAAGGAGGAGGAGGAGGGAGCUGCGUCCGGCUCCACGAGGCCUCCGGGUUAGGAGGCCUCAUCCCCAGUGUUUCCUAAUCGCGGCGGCAGGCCAUCAUGGAGGGAGUGAUGGGGGACGGCA